rnacentral:rRNA from 1 species
AGAGUUUGAUCCUGGCUCAGGACGAACGCUGGCGGCGUGCUUAACACAUGCAAGUCGAACGGAAAGGCCCUUCGGGGUACUCGAGUGGCGAACGGGUGAGUAACACGUGGGUGAUCUGCCCUGCACUUUGGGAUAAGCCUGGGAAACUGGGUCUAAUACCGAAUAUGACCAUGCGCCUCCUGGUGUGUGGUGGAAAGCUUUUGCGGUGUGGGAUGGGCCCGCGGCCUAUCAGCUUGUUGGUGGGGUAAUGGCCUACCAAGGCGACGACGGGUAGCCGGCCUGAGAGGGUGACCGGCCACACUGGGACUGAGAUACGGCCCAGACUCCUACGGGAGGCAGCAGUGGGGAAUAUUGCACAAUGGGCGCAAGCCUGAUGCAGCGACGCCGCGUGAGGGAUGACGGCCUUCGGGUUGUAAACCUCUUUCAGCACAGACGAAGCGCAAGUGACGGUAUGUGCAGAAGAAGGACCGGCCAACUACGUGCCAGCAGCCGCGGUAAUACGUAGGGUCCGAGCGUUGUCCGGAAUUACUGGGCGUAAAGAGCUCGUAGGUGGUUUGUCGCGUUGUUCGUGAAAACUCACAGCUUAACUGUGGGCGUGCGGGCGAUACGGGCAGACUUGAGUACUGCAGGGGAGACUGGAAUUCCUGGUGUAGCGGUGGAAUGCGCAGAUAUCCGGAGGAACACCGGUGGCGAAGGCGGGUCUCUGGGCAGUAACUGACGCUGAGGAGCGAAAGCGUGGGGAGCGAACAGGAUUAGAUACCCUGGUAGUCC